rnacentral:lncRNA from 1 species
CUUCCCUGUGAGCCUACACCAACUCUCAGCACCUGCGUGACCCUGUGGCAAGGAGAUAAAUGGCUCAGAUGUGAAGAGCCAUCUCUACGUGAUCCCCCGACGUCAGCCUUCUCUGCACCUUCCCCAGGCAUCCCAAGAGCUUCCUGGCAAUGCCGUGGCUGUUUCAAGCCAGGUUUGUGUCUGCAAUAGACCUGGCAAUGCAGGCAGAAAGCAUCUCCAUCACAAAAGUGGCCAGGGGUAUUGGAGCACAGGAAUUUAGCGGAGCCACAAGAAGGCUGAGAGAACAAAAACCCCGGGAUUUCAGCAAGGGCCCUCGCUUCCGUGAGCUCUCUGCCAGGCUUGGAAAUGCACCAGCUGUGAUGAAGAACCCAUGGAAGGGGGAGCAGGAGCUGGACAGGGGUUUUCUGCCUCGGUGUGGGACCAGGCACCAAGGAUGAGCGAUGAAAUGAGGCAGGACUGACAAGAAGACGGAGGGAGAGCAAGAGGACACUGCAAGCAGGUCAUAGCAGCUGCGGGGAUGGGAAGAAGAAGGUGUCAGUGAUUUGGUGAAGUGGAGCUUGGCUGUGGCUGUUGAGCCAGUGCAAAAUUUCCCAAGCUGUGAUGGAGACCAACAGCAUGGUUCACAGCUCUCCAAGCCUUAGACCUUCCCUUCAAACAGAAGGGAAGGUACAGGGGUGAAAGGACUCAUGGAAACAUUACUAAGUCUGCAGAGAGUAGCAAUUGACCAUAAAUAAUUGCCAGCAAAUCCAUGAUAAUGAUGGCUGACCAUGCCAAGGAGAGAAGUUGGCUAGGCCCUGGAGAUUUCAUCUAGAUAGAUUAAUCAGGUUUGGCUUCCUCUUUUUGCUUUCCCCCUCCGUGUUUAAGGAAGAUGAAACAAAAUGAUUAGAGACACAGAAAGGAAGUAAUACGAUAACAUUAAAUGGAGACUAUUCUUAAGAAAUAGAAGAAAGAAAAAAAUAAUAAUAAAAAACAAAGACAAGAGUAUGUCCUGGUCA